GAGGAUAUAGCUCAAUGGUAGAGCGCAUGCUUUAUAUGCACGAAGUCCUAGGUUCAAUUCCCAGCACUUCCA
rnacentral:tRNA from 1 species